rnacentral:tRNA from 1 species
GCCCAGGUAGCUCAGUUGGUAGAGCAGCGGAUUGAAGCUCCGCGUGUCGGUGGUUCGAUUCCAUCCCUGGGCACCA